GAAAUGUGUGAAUCUCUAAAUUGAUAAUGUGUUUUAAGUUCCAUCCGGAUCCUCUUGCAAUGUAUUCAUCGAAUGACAUGAACUGUUUCGUAAAUGCUUCGUUCAAGGCAGUCUCGGAUAAAUUUUCCUUUGACAAUAAAGUGUAUACAUCACUCUUGAAAUAGGGUUGACUGGUAUCACUUUCACCGAUAACCAUCUCCGUAACAAAUUCGACAUGAACUUUUAAAUACCAUUUUAUAUGUUUCAUUUUGUCACACCUUUCAAUCAAGUGAUUUUUAUUUCCUCUCGUGUGUUGUAGAAAAAUACGAGUAGAUCGUAUCUGUCAAGAUCGGUGUGGAACAGGAUGAGAACAUGUACCGCAUCAUCUAUUGCGCUUUGUGUCGACGACUGGUGACUAGUAGUGAUUGAUUUUGUCGAAGAUGUGCUAAUUUUCCCACCCCACUGCGACGAGUGUGCCUUCUGAGUGUGAUCGAACAAUGAACUAUAGUUAUUGAAAACUUCAC
rnacentral:lncRNA from 1 species